GCUCUUUCCACCGCCCGCUCGCCCUCGCCGCGCUGCCAGGCGGUUUCCAGCGGCGGGUUAUUUCGGGCUGAUGAGACCCACGUGUCAUCGCUAAUAUCAGCAGUUUGUGUGUGUGUUUUUCCUGUUUUCCACUGCUCGGCGAGAUGCGCGGAGCAGAGCGCCACCAAACCAGCAAACCACUUCCCAGAGGACCGGCCAGACGGCCCCGCACACCAGGACCCCGCCCGGCCGGAGCGGCAGGGGCCGGAGACCCCAAGCCCCCG
rnacentral:lncRNA from 1 species